AUACUUACCUGGCAGGGGAGAUACCAUGAUCAUGUAGGUGGUUCACCCAGGGCGAGGCUCAGCCAUUGCACUGAGGCUGACUGACCUCUGCGAAUUCCCCAAAUGUGGGAAUCUCGACUGCAUAAUUUCUGGUAGUGGGGGACUGCGUUCGCGCUCUCCCCUG
rnacentral:snRNA from 1 species